CCCCCCCCCCCCUAAUCCCCUCACCCGCGACUCCCUUCAGUUUUCUGUCUUCUCCGGGAGCAUCGCUCCGAUUACCAUGGCAGAAACCUUCCUAUCAUGGCGCCUAGAUUCCAGGUGAAGGACCGCCUUCACCCUCAAACACCAUGGCACAGCUCGCCCCCCUGGAAGCCUCCCUGGAAGCUUUCUUCAGGAAAUUAUACAAGUGCGCUGGCAGUGGAAAUGCCAAGACCCUCAGUGAGAAAAUGCUAACCGACAUCAUAAAGGCAACAUAGCUGCUCAAUGAGGGUUAGUCUAGACCAUAAGGGGGUUCCUGAAGUGUGGGACCCUUAUGCCGGUGUUGGACCAGAACACUGAUGGCCCUGUGGACUUAAAGGAGUACAUCAACCCUGAUCGAAUCCCAUGCCUGCAUGUGCAAAUGGCUCCUGGAAGGAAUAUAUGAUUGCAUGUCAUUGAAGACCUGCCUGCUCCCAUUUGCUUUCUACAGCAUAUUAACAUAUUAUAAUGACUCAUUUGAUGGGGUUACUGCCUGUGUCUUCGCAUGCACACCCUAGCGCCGGCCUGCACACACACUGACACACACCAACAUACAGACACAAGGGUUUGCAUUACUCUUGACAAUCCGAUUCACAUGGAUUCUCUUGACAGAAAGAAACUGAGCGUGUUGCGAUGCCAGGAUAUUGGGAUUGGUUCCUGCAACAAUCAUACAUGAAAUGUUUGCAUGCAUGCCUGUAGAUCAUUUUUCAUGAAAGCGUCUGCUAAAUGGCAUAAAGUUAAUGGUAUAUAUAUAUAUAUUAUAGCAUUGUAUUGAUAAAUUAGAUCAAGAAUGCUGCUAAACAAAGCAUGUAAAAAAGAUGUGUAGGCUGUGGAUAAAUCUAUAUUUACUGUGUUAUGCAUGCCUACCAUAAUUCAAUCUGCCUGGAAUUUUUUGUAUGUUUUAAUUUACUGCUAAUAAAUGAGCAGAAGACUCAAACAAAUAUUGACUCUUGUAAAGAAAUUAGCUUUCCUCCCAUUAUUCAUAAACAUUUGUAAUCCCCGCUUAGUUUUCUUUUUUAUUCAGUUAAUAAAGCAGUAACAAUUUUAUUUGUAAUAUAUUAACUGUUGCUACAAAAAAUGUUUAAGGAACUGGUCGUGUUUUGGAGGAUCUAUCCCCUAAUGUCUCACGGGUGAAUUAAAAAUGACUGACUGAACAGUUAUACUGGGUCGUUAUGCAUGAUGUGAGGAAAUGGGUUGGGUGGUUGCAAUGUCAGUCAGUGGACGUCUUUUUGAUGUUCUGGAAUACAGCCAUUCAUUUUAGCGCCAGGAAGAAUUACGCAUGCUCAGACUAGUCAUUCUCACUCCGCCCCCUUAUAUUUCAGUGUACAGCACAGACCGAAACCCCCAUAAAAUCGUGGCA
ensembl:lncRNA